GCUCAUAUGCCGAUGCCCUAAGGCCAUCGUUACAGAAGAUAUGACGGCGUUGAAGAAGCUCGAUCUGAUCUGACCGUGCGUUCUCCGGAAAUGUCCUACGCCGUGCAGCCGGCGAAGCUUAGCUUCGAAGAGCCCAGGAUGAGCUCAUCGAAUUCUCAUCACCCUCACCUCUAAGAACGCCAAAACCUUCAGAAGGGUACGUACCUUGUGAGAUCUCUGCCGUGUUUGUUUUUGUCGACGAUCGCUGGAUCUAUUGUAGUCUAUCUUGUUGUGUUUCCUCUGGGCGAUAACCUUGUGAAGGGAACAAAGGACAAGGGUCUCAAGUUAAGGGCCUCGUGAUUUUGCCAACCAAGGUCCCCUAUAUCACCACGAGGAAGUGAUGAUGAUAAAUCCUAGUAGUUUACACAGAGAGUUUUCUAUGAAGUCUCAAAAUCGAGCUUUUUAAGACUGAUGCACAGUUUAUUCGUGUAUGAGGGUUGUCUUUAGUAAUGUAUUAUUGUACUGAUGUGGUUCGGUUAGGUUGUAUCCUUUUAUUAUCUAUGAUAAACACAGUAGUUUAGCACCAAGAGCUUUUUAUGAAGUCUUAAAAUUGAGCUCUGUAAAACUGAUGUGCAGUUUCCACGUCUAUGAUUAUGAUAUCUGUUUUGUUA